rnacentral:rRNA from 1 species
CCCUUAGAUGUUCUGGGCCGCACGCGCGCUACACUGAUGAAAUCAACGAGCACUAACCUGUGCCGAAAGGUUCGGGUAAUCUUGUGAAAUUUCAUCGUGAUGGGGAUUGAUUAUUGCAAUUUUUAAUCAUAAACGAGGAAUGCCUAGUAAGCGUGAGUCAUCAGCUCACGUUGAUUACGUCCCUGCCCUUUGUACACACCGCCCGUCGCUCCUACCGAUUGAAUGUGCCAGUGAAAAGUUCGGAUUGGAGAUAGGAGACGGCAACGUAUCCUAUUUCCGAGAAAAUCUUUAAACUUCCCCAUUUAGAGGAAGGAGAAGUCGUAACA